GACGAACGCUGGCGGCGUGCUUAACACAUGCAAGUCGAACGGACAGGCCCUGCUUUUGUUGGGUGCUCGAGUGGCGAACGGGUGAGUAACACGUGAGUAACCUGCCCUUGACUUUGGGAUAACUUCAGGAAACUGGGGCUAAUACCGGCUAGGAGCUCCUGCUGCUUGUUGUUGGUUGGAAAUUUUUGGCGGUUGGGGAUGGACUCGCGGCUUAUGAGCUUGUCGGUGGGGUAGUGGCUUACCAAGGCUUUGACGGUUAGCCGGCCUGAGAGGGUGACCGGCCACAGUGGGCCUGAGAUACGGCCCAGACUCCUACGGGAGGCAGCAGUGGGAGAUAUUGCGCGAUGGGCGGAAGCCUUAUGCAGCAACGCCGCGUGCGAGAUGACGGCCUUCAGGUUAUAAACCGCUUUCGCCUGUAACGAAGCGUGAGUGACGGUAAUGGAUAAGGAAGCACCGGCUAACUACGUG
rnacentral:rRNA from 1 species